rnacentral:rRNA from 1 species
GCCUUUAGCAAUACAAGUAUUAAAGGUGGCGCCUGCCCAAUGAAUCAUUUAACGGCCGCGGUAUCCUAAGCCGUGCAAAGGUAGCGUAAUCAUAUGUCCUCUAAAUAAGGACCUGUAUGAAUGGCUAAAUGAGGACUAACCUGUCUCUUUUAACUAGUCAGUGAAACUGAUCUCCCAGUACAAAAGCUGGUAUAUAAACAUAAGACGAGAAGACCCUGUGGAGCUUCAAAUUAUUAUUAAACAAAACAAGCACUAUAAACGUCGAUCAUUAAAAAUUUUGAGUUGGGGCGACUUCGGAAUAAAAUAAAACUUCCGAGCACAGAGGCAUAUACCCUCAAUUAAGGCCAAUAAGCCAAAAUUUAACUUGACCCAGUAUUACUGAUCAACAAACCAAGUUACCCCAGGGAUAACAGCGCCAUCCUCUUUAAGAGUCCAUAUCGACAAGAGGGUUUACGACCUCGAUGUUGGAUCAGGACACCCCAAUGGUGCAGCCGCUAUUAAAGGUUCGUUUGUUCAACGAUUAAUAGUCCU